GAGGUGGGAGGAUCACUUGAGCCUGGGAGGUCAAGGCUGCAGUGAGCUGUGAUCACACCACUGCACUCCAGCCUGAGUGACAGAGUAAGACUCUGUCUCA
ensembl:miRNA